GAGUCUUGAGGAGUCGAGCCUGCCCAGUGAACUAAUUUUAACGGCCGCGGUACUCUGACCGUGCAAAGGUAGCAUAAUCACUUGCCCUAUAAUUGAGGGCUAGCAUGAAUGGUCUGACAAGAGUAAGACUGUCUCUUUGGGAAUUCAUAAAACUUGGUCUUUAGGUGAAGAAACCUGAAUGAAAUUAAAAGACAAGAAGACCCUAUCGAUCUUUAAAAAAAUAUAUUAAAUAUUAGUAAAACAAACAUUGAUAUAAAAUUUUGGUUGGGGCGACUAAGGAACAAUUAAAACUUCCUUUUAAAAAUAUAUACUAAUAGGUAAUGAUCCAACAAGGUUUGAUUAAAAAAAUUAGUUACCGUAGGGAUAACAGCAUAAUCUUCUUUGAGAGCUCUUAUCGAAAAGAAGGUUUGUGACCUCGAUGUUGGACUAGGAUACCCAGUAGAUGCAGAAGUCUACAAAGGUUGGUCUGUUCGACCA
rnacentral:rRNA from 1 species